UGCAGUCGAGCGGAUUGAUGGGAGCUUGCUCCCUGAUAUCAGCGGCGGACGGGUGAGUAACACGUGGGCAACCUGCCUAUAAGACUGGGAUAACUUCGGGAAACCGGAGCUAAUACCGGAUAAUCCCUUUCCUCUCAUGAGGAAAGGCUGAAAGAUGGUUUACGCUGUCACUUAUAGAUGGGCCCGCGGCGCAUUAGCUAGUUGGUGAGGUAACGGCUCACCAAGGCAACGAUGCGUAGCCGACCUGAGAGGGUGAUCGGCCACACUGGGACUGAGACACGGCCCAGACUCCUACGGGAGGCAGCAGUAGGGAAUCUUCCGCAAUGGACGAAAGUCUGACGGAGCAACGCCGCGUGAGUGAUGAAGGUUUUCGGAUCGUAAAACUCUGUUGUUAGGGAAGAACAAGUACGAGAGUAACUGCUCGUACCUUGACGGUACCUAACCAGAAAGCCACGGCUAACUACGUGCCAGCAGCCGCGGUAAUACGUAGGUGGCAAGCGUUGUCCGGAAUUAUUGGGCGUAAAGCGCGCGCAGGCGGUCCUUUAAGUCUGAUGUGAAAGCCCACGGCUCAACCGUGGAAGGUCAUUGGAAACUGGGGGACUUGAGUACAG
rnacentral:rRNA from 1 species